rnacentral:lncRNA from 1 species
CAGGAAUAGCAGGAGAUAGAAGGAACACAGGGGAGGCAGGAGAGCAAGGCUGUUGGCCUCAUCCGCUACCUCCUGGCUGACUGAGGACGGAUGUGUUAGAUAAAUCUGAGAACGCAAAGAAGCGCAGAGGUUCUAUUCUGCAAGCCAGUAAAGAUGAAGAGGAGGAAGCUAAUUCCCAGGUGCCUACACUGAGCUGACAGACAGAUGCCUCUCCCUGGUAGCUCCAGCACAGUCAAGCAGAGGCAGACUCCAAGGCUCCCUUUGCUGAGUUGCCUUUGCUUCCAGUGAAGGAGAACCCA